CUUAGGCAGAUCAAAUUGAAACUGAUAAACCAAGUUGUAUCUAAGGUAAGUUUGGCAUUUUGAUUGAUGGUUUUUAAUUGGCAGCCCGCCUAUCUGGCCAUUUCGAUGGUGUCUAAGAUAAGCUUUGGUAGAUUUUUCCAUCAAUCUCACUUACUUGGCCAAUGUGGUUAAUCAACUUUUGAUUAGAUUGCUCAUUGAUUCGAGGUAACCCAUGCCACCU
rnacentral:lncRNA from 1 species